rnacentral:rRNA from 1 species
CAAUAGCGUAUAUUAAAGUUGUUGCGGUUAAAAAGCUCGUAGUUGGAUUUCUGCUGAGAACGACCGGUCCGCCCUUUGGGUGUGUAUCUGGCUCCUUCUUGGCAUCUUCUUGGUGAACGUUGCUGCACUUGACUGUGUGGAGCGCUACCCAGGACUUUUACUUUGAGGAAAUUAGAGUGUUUCAAGCAGGCAUACGCCUUGAAUACAUUAGCAUGGAAUAAUAAGAUAGGACCUCGGUUCUAUUUUGUUGGUUUCUAGAGCUGAGGUAAUGAUUAAUAGGGAUAGUUGGGGGCAUUCGUAUUUAACUGUCAGAGGUGAAAUUCUUGGAUUUGUUAAAGACGAACUACUGCGAAAGCAUUUGCCAAGGAUGUUUUCAUUGA